rnacentral:rRNA from 1 species
ACAGGGAUUGCCCUAGUAACGGCGAGUGAAGCGGCAACAGCUCAAAUUUGAAAUCUGGCUCUUUUAGAGUCCGAGUUGUACUUUGCAGAGGGCGCUUUGGCUUUGGCAGCGGUCCAAGUUCCUUGGAACAGGACGUCACAGAGGGUGAGAAUCCCGUACGUGGUCGCUGGCUAUUGCCGUGUAAAGCCCCUUCGACGAGUCGAGUUGUUUGGGAAUGCAGCUCUAAAUGGGAGGUACAUUUCUUCUAAAGCUAAAUAUUGGCCAGAGACCGAUAGCGCACAAGUAGAGUGAUCGAAAGAUGAAAAGCACUUUGGAAAGAGAGUCAAACAGCACGUGAAAUUGUUGAAAGGGAAGCGCUUGCAGCCAGACUUGCUUGCAGUUGCUCAUCCGGGCUUUUUUGCCCGGUGCACUCUUCUGUAGGCAGGCCAGCAUCAGUUUGGGCGGUAGGAUAAAGGUCUCUGUCACGUACCUCCUUUCGGGGAGGCCUUAUAGGGGAGGCGACAUACUACCAGCCUGGACUGAGGUCCGCGCAUCUGCUAGGAUGCUGGCGUAAUGGCUGUAAGCGGCCCGUCUUGAAACACGGACCAAGGAGUCUAACAUCUAUGCGAGUGUUUGGGUGUCAAGCCCGAGCGCGUAAUGAAAGUGAACGGAGGUGGGAACCCGCAAGGGUGCACCAUCGACCGAUCCUGAUGUCUUCGGAAGGAUUUGAGUAAGAGCAUGGCUGUUGGGACCCGAAAGAUGGUGAACUAUGCUUGAAUAGGGUGAAGCCAGAGGAAACUCUGGUGGAGGCUCGCAGCGGUUCUGACGUGCAAAUCGAUCGUCAAAUUUGGGCAUAGGGGGCGAAAGACUAAU